rnacentral:rRNA from 1 species
UAAGCGGUGUAUUAAAUCGUGUGGCUUAACCAUACAGAUGUACACCGAACUGAGUAGCUAGAGUAUAGGAGAGGUCACUGGAAUUUCUUGUGUAGGAGUGAAAUCCGUAGAUAUAAGAAGGAACACCGAUGGCGUAGGCAGGUGACUGGCCUAUUACUGACGCUGAGGCACGAAAGCGUGGGGAGCGAACGGGAUUAGAUACCCCGGUAGUCCACGCCGUAAACGAUGGAUGCUA